GACGAACGCUGGCGGCGUGCUUAACACAUGCAAGUCGAACGGAAAUGCCCUGCUUUUGUGGGGUGCUCGAGUGGCGAACGGGUGAGUAACACGUGAGUAACCUGCCCUUGACUUUGGGAUAACUUCAGGAAACUGGGGCUAAUACCGGAUAGGAGCUCCUGCUGCAUGGUGGGGGUUGGAAAGUUUCGGCGGUUGGGGAUGGACUCGCGGCUUAUCAGCUUGUUGGUGGGGUAGUGGCUUACCAAGGCUUUGACGGGUAGCCGGCCUGAGAGGGUGACCGGCCACAUUGGGACUGAGAUACGGACCAGACUCCUACGGGAGGCAGCAGUGGGGAAUAUUGCACAAUGGGCGGAAGCCUGAUGCAGCAACGCCGCGUGCGGGAUGACGGCCUUCGGGUUGUAAACCGCUUUCGCCUGUGACGAAGAGUGAGUGACGGUAAUGGGUAAAGAAGCACCGGCUAACUACGUG
rnacentral:rRNA from 1 species